AACGAACGCUGGCGGCAGGCUUAACACAUGCAAGUCGAACGGAUGUAGCAAUACAUUAGUGGCAGACGGGUGAGGAACACGUGGGAAUAUCCCCUUCAGUUCGGAAUAACUCAGGGAAACUUGAGCUAAUACCGGAUACGUCCGCGAGGAGAAAGAUUCAUCGCUGAAGGAUUAGCCCGCGUCUGAUUAGCUAGUUGGUGAGGUAAUGGCUCACCAAGGCGACGAUCAGUAGCUGGUCUGAGAGGAUGAUCAGCCACAUUGGGACUGAGACACGGCCCAAACUCCCACGGGAGGCAGCAGUGGGGAAUAUUGGACAAUGGGCGCAAGCCUGAUCCAGCCAUGCCGCGUGAGUGAUGAAGGCCUUCGGGUUGUAAAGCUCUUUUGUCCGGGAAGAUAAUGACUGUACCGGAAGAAUAAGCCCCGGCUAACUUCGUGCCAGCCGCCGCAGUAA
rnacentral:rRNA from 1 species